CAACAAUUGCAAUGCUUCUGAGAAGACUCGUGUGCCAACUAAGUAUUCGGAUGCCUAUUCCACUUCCGAUCGAAGAAACACGGUUUCCCGGCAAGCUGAAGACAUCAAGAUUCACAAACUCAUCUUUCGCGGCGAACUAUUUGUCUACCAUCGAUAAGCGACGGGGUUAAGUUGUUUGGAAGGACUGAUAUGAUUCGACGAAAGCACGGGUGUUCUUUUGGUUCUAGUUUUCCUCUUCCCAUCCCGGCUUCGUUACGAAUACGCGAGGCGCGAAGAGAAGAGAAGGUUAAGAGCCGUUGCGAGUGACGGGAACGCCGAUCUCCGUCUCUAUCGAUCGAUCCCCGCCGUAAAUCCCGUAGAUCGGUGAACGCACGGCUCGGAUCCCGCCGGCCGGUCGCCGGAAAUGAAUAUCUUCAGGUUAGCGGGCAACAUGACGCAUCUCAUGAGCGUCCUCGUCCUUCUCCUCAAGAUCCACACCAUCAAGUCCCGAGUGGAGCAGAUCACGUCUGACCGUGGAGUUGGGUCACGAUCUGGAUGCCUGCUGCCUAUUUAUGCCCUGCUAAAGAGUAGAACUAAGACACUAGAAAUCUCUUCUACACCAGUAAAGAAAGUGUUACAGCGUGACCAGAGCCUUGCCAACCCUCCUAAUCAAGUUAGGGAAAGGAUUAUUGAAGCUCUAUCACUAAGUCAUGAUGGUGAUAUCUGAUAAGUGUCGUCUAUUGUUCUGUUAAAUUUUAACUGUAUUAUUAUCAUUUUUUAGUUGAGAUUUUAGGAAACAUGUGGAGUGCAAUUUGGAGCUUAUUUUGCGUCAAGAGUACUAAAAUAAUAUAGCAUGUUAGCUAGUUGUUUAGCUACAAGGACUCAUAACUGGGGACUUCUAGAGGUCUUUUUUGGCUGGUCUUAAAAUUGAGAAAAUAACAAAAGCUAAAACUCUCUCAAAUACUGUCUCUCAGUAAGCUCUAUGUUUAUCAGCGACUAAAAGCUCUCGAGACAUGAUUAUGAUUGGUUAUUAUAUUUGUACAAUGAAAUAUUUAUAAUUUCAGAACCCCCUGUCCUAUUCAUUCUUGUCGAGUUUUUUUUUUUCCUUUUUAAAUUUGAGAAGUGCUCGAUAGGAGUGACAUAUCCUAUCAAAAAAUGAAAGGAAAGGAAAGAUGCAAGGGAUAAUGCUUUCUCUUCCAUCCACUGAUGGCUUCAGUAUUAUUUAUAUCUCUUUUGUUUUUUUAUAUGGUCAUUUGAGCAUUUAACUAUAUUUUAUUUGACUGGCUCGACCAUGUAUGAUCUACAUAUUCAACUACUCAGAUUCUAUCAUGUUCUAAGAAUUCAUCUUGUCUUACAAACCAUAUCACUAUUUGCUAUUGAGAUAGUUAAAUCAUAAAUGAGAUGCAAUAAGGAUGAACUGAUAUAAAAUUUUGCUUGCCAUUCUUGUAGCUUUGUCAUAUGGCUCACAAUAGCUAGUCCCUGAUUUGCUUCACCUCCUUUAUGUUUUUAAUACAUGAUAUCUCUUGAUGCAUAUUUGUUCAAACAAACCAUGAAGUUUUAUACCUCUCAUCAUCAGAGCCAACAAGAGGUAUAUGAUCACUUUUCCUGAUCAUUUUGUGUACCAUUCUUUGUUUUUUUUUUUUCUUUUUGCUCACUUGUUUCCUUGUCUUGUAUUUUCUCCUCGAUGUUGUCAUUCUAAUUAUGGAUUUUUUGGGAAAGUACAUUUUGAUGCAUGUGCAACUGUGUACUUCUCUUGAAAGGUAAUGACCACAAAUGCAUUUUUAUUUGUCAGUUUGAUAAUUUACUAUCUCUCAGUCAGAAUGAAGUAUUAUUUUCCCUUAAUCUGAUGCAAGUUUUUAUCCAUCUUUUUCUGAAUCUAACUGACCAUCAAUAAUCUAUUCUGGUUGGUUGCUUUAUCAACAUAAGAAACCUCAUGAUUAAGUUAUUCCUCCUAAGUGAUUCUCUUCAAUGUAUGUUAUUUACAACUGGUUUCCAGUAUUACUAGAUAUCAUAAAGAUUUUAUUUUUCCAAAUGAACUAACUCUCAAACUUGACAUCUAUUUUGUGACUACUUCUUGUUUGGAUCUUGAUUGUCUUUCUGGUGUAUUUAAUCUUGGAUUUUUUUAUCUUUGUUUUAAAAAAACUCUUUCCAUUACAUAAAGUUGGUUAUAUUUGAUGUGUAUAACUUGACAUAGUUCAUGUUAUUUUCUAACAGGCAUUUCUCUGAAGACACAAGAACUUUAUGCCCUUGUUUUUGCCACUCGAUACUUGGAUCUUGUAUGGAGAUUCAUGUCAAUGGCAUAAGAUUUUGGAUCUUGGAUCUUGAUCCUUUUUUUUUGGAAAAAAAAACUCUUUCCACUACAUAAAGUUGGUUUUAUUGUAUGUGUAUAACUUGACAUAGUUCAUGUCAUUUUCUCACAGGCAUUUCUCUGAAGACAAGAGCUUUAUGCCCUUGUUUUUGCCACUCGAUACUUGGAUAUUUUUACUGAUUUUGUCUCAUUCUAUAAUACGACGAUGAAACUUAUUUUCUUGGGGAGCUUGUUCUCAAUUGUCUGGUACAUGAGAUGACACAAGUUGUCCGUAGAUCUUAUGACAAGGACCAAUACACUUUUCGUCACUUCGUUCUUGCAUUACCAUGCGUAGUUCUGGCUUUAGUUAUAAAUGAAAAGUUCACGUUUAAGGAGGUUAGCUCAUGUAUUUGGCAGGACUAUUUCUUUCUUAAAGAAUUCUUCAAUCAAACAAGAUUUGCCAAUCAUAUCUUGUAAUUAAUGUAUCGUUAUGACUGGAAUAGGUUUUGUUUGGAAUUGUUCCUGAGUAUAUUCCCUUCUCUAUCUUCAUGCUUCUAUGCCAUGUGUCCUGAUUUCUUUUUUCAUGACAGGUUAUGGGGACAUUCUCCCUAUAUUUGGAAGCAGUUGCAAUACUUCCUCAGCUGGUAUUGUUGCAAAGGACAAAAAAUAUAGACAACUUGACUGUUCAAUAUGUUUUCUUCUAGGAGCAUACAGAGCAUUUGACAUCCUAAACUGGAUUUACCGCUACUUCACUGAGCCUCACUGUGUUCAUUGGAUAACAUGGAUACCUGGAUUGGCACAGACAUUGCUUUAUGCAGAUUUCUUCUACUACUACUUAAAUAGUUGGAAGAACAAUGUCAAGCUCAAGCUACCAGCAUGAUUUGGUCUUAUUUCAAGGUCAACCAACCGUGGUAGGAUCUAGCCAUAAUGUGUGAGGAGUUACUCUUCUGGAGGCUUACUCCUGUGAAUUCCAUUCUCUUGUUUGAGUCCUUCAAGUUGCCCUAUCGUUUUAACAUGUCAGAGUCAUUUUUUAGCAGGAGUCAGAUAUAAGAUUCGUUAUCUGUUCUGAGCUGAGAUGACAAACUUGGCAAAAGUUUCCAUGUGCUAUGCGUGUUCUUGUAUUGAAAAAAAAAAAAAAAUUCAAUUUCUGUAAUAUCCUCUCUUUCCAUAUUUCAAGACAGUAUCAAAUCUUAUAUCUGCUUGUUUUUGUUCAUCCAACCUAUACUCCGUACCUCUUAGAA